GCGGACUAGAGAUUCAAAGGUGCACAUUAGGUUUGUUUAUCCAGCCCUGCACAUCACACAGACUCAUCUAAGACUGAUGCCACGGAGCCGAAAACACAUCAUUUCCCCACAGAGGAAGCAUGUUCUGCUACGAUGGCAGGUUGAGCUAUAGCUAACACCUGGGAAAGCACAGCCCUAACAGCCAGCCACAGGAACCAUGGUCUAUUUACAACAACCUACUAACCGAAGGGAGCUUCAGAGUAGAAGACAACUAAUUCACGUGAUAGCUGGAUUGCUGCUAUGUAUUUAGCCAUCCAAUGGUACUCACUCAGUGAGAAAAAGGGAAUAGGCUACACAUUUCUUUUUGCUGUUCUUCCCUCAUCCCUUUCUCUGAGGCAGAGCCAGUAGGAAAGAGGCAGGCAACACUUCUCUCCAAAAUAAAGAAUUACAGCUACCUGGUCUCUUCUACCCAGCCAAAGCCCUCCCAGCAGAGAUGAGAUGGAAAUUUAGGGGCAGGAAUGUGAACACAAAGCAACCCCCAGAAGUAAUACAAUGCCACCACCAUCACUGUCCAUAGAAACAUGAAAUUCAGCCCAUAAAAACGGCACGUCAUUUCUGAAAGCACUAAAAAACAUCAGUUUAAUGCCAAUGGAAGCAACAGCUGAAGUAGCAGAGCAGAUCCUAGUGUACUCUACAGCGAGUGUGAA